rnacentral:lncRNA from 1 species
CUGAGACCACCCACCCUCUCCAGGAGCAGCCCCAGAGGCUCUCUGUCUGCCUGCCGGUAGGUGUUCCCACCUGACACACUCUCUGGGACAGGAUGGAGCCAUAGGCCCUCCUCUGGCUUGGCUGUGAGUCGGGAGGAUGCCUACCGGGAAGUAUGUGUGACAUGACCUGAAAUCCCCCGACAGGUCACCUGGGAGAGGCCGGGAGAGGGCAAGCGCCACACCUGCCAGGUGGCCCAGCUCAGCCCACCUGCCCCCACCCCAGAGCUACCUGCAGUGGGUGGUCAGGGUGGGGUGUCCCCACACCCUCUUCCCUACCCACCCCUUGGGCCUGGGUACCAGCUGCUCCCACAGACCCACUGAGCACAUGCGUCUCCACUAGAUGGUUGCCCGUGAUGAACGGAGCUCACUGGCCAUGACCCCACAGGCCCAGCUGCACACCCAGGUCAUGAGCACGGCCCUGCCCCACCCCCAUAGGGGCCCUCUGACCCCUCCACUCACUCAUCCGCCACCAAAGCUGUGGAGGCCUGUGGCAGGGUCUCAGUCACCUCCAUCCCCUGUGCCCGGAACCAAGCCCGGAACACAGGAGGUGCUCUGCAAGUGCUCGUGGGGAGUGGCUGCCUUGGGGUCUAAAGGCAGAGAGGCAGGAGGAGCAAGGGACGGGCCCACUGGUGCUGACGGCAGCACCACCAUUCAGCACUGAGACUGAGGCUUAAGGAGUCCAUCCAAAUGACUCCAUAGCCGCCGCGUUCAGGCUGGAAAAGGCUUUUCAGCGGAGGGUGCUGUAACUGUCCAGCUGUGGGAGAGGAGAUACCAGCCCAGGAGAAGAGCAGCUGGCCCUACUGGGCCUAGAAGUUUGGGAGACCCAUCCCAGCAAGGAUGGGAAAUCAAGACAGAUGUUGAGCAUGGAUUUCCCAGAGGUGGUGACUGCGCCGCACAGAGGAGCAUCUCUGCCUGGGAGGAGGGAGAGGGCUCCCGCCGGGCUGCCAGAGCCGAGCAAGUACCUGCACCUUCAGCCAGACACAUGCUGGGCAUUCUUCAGAUGCCAUCGUAAGGCGGAGGCCUGGGACGUCCCAGAACACCUAUGGAUGCUGCCCCUCGGGCUUUCUCGGCCACACCAGAUGCAGAGGGGCUGUGGGAGCCUGGAAAAGGGCUUGGUGGUCCAGCUGCUUUGUUGUUGUUGUUUUUGUUUUGUUUGUUUGUUUGUUUGUUUGUUUUGGCUUGGGGCUUUUCUUAGAAGUGAUGUGUUGUUAGAAACUUCAAACCAGAUACAAAUAUACCCAACGA